rnacentral:tRNA from 1 species
UGAUAAAGAAAGGAAUUAGGCCAAUGUGUGCAGGAGUACAGCCUGCCGCCUAACACUCGGCCACUUACCU